AUUGAACGCUGGCGGCAUGCCUUACACAUGCAAGUCGAACGGUAACAGGUCUUCGGAUGCUGACGAGUGGCGAACGGGUGAGUAAUACAUCUGAACGUGCCUAGUAGUGGGGGAUAACUACUCGAAAGAGUGGCUAAUACCGCAUGAGAUCUACGGAUGAAAGCAGGGGUGUGCAAAACCUUGUGCUACUAGAGCGGCCGAUGGCAGAUUAGGUAGUUGGUGGGAUAAAAGCUUACCAAGCCGACGAUCUGUAGCUGGUCUGAGAGGACGAUCAGCCACACUGGGACUGAGACACGGCCCAGACUCCUACGGGAGGCAGCAGUGGGGAAUUUUGGACAAUGGGCGCAAGCCUGAUCCAGCAAUGCCGCGUGCAGGAUGAAGGCCUUCGGGUUGUAAACUGCUUUUGUACGGAACGAAAAGACCUGGGUUAAUACCCUGGGGUCAUGACGGUACCGUAAGAAUAAGCACCGGCUAACUACGUGCCAGCAGCCGCAGUAA
rnacentral:rRNA from 1 species